rnacentral:rRNA from 1 species
GUAGUCUCGCACAGAUGCAUAUCAAUAAGCGGAGGAAAAGAAACUAACAAGGAUUCCCCUAGUAACGGCGAGUGAAGCGGGAAGAGCUCAAAUUUGAAAUCUUAAAGGGUUUCCCUUUACGAAUUGUAGUUUAAAGAAGUGUUUUCUGUUGAGGUUUUGGUAAAAGUUCUUUGGAGUAGGACAUCAUAGAGGGUGAGAAUCCCGUAUUUGACCUUUACUUUCAACUUUGUGAUACACUUUCAAAGAGUCGGAUUGUUUGGGAAUGCAGUCCAAAAUGGGUGGUAAAUUUCAUCUAAAGCUAAAUAUUGGCGAGAGACCGAUAGCGAACAAGUACCGUGAGGGAAAGAUGAAAAGAACUUUGAAAAGAGAGUUAAACAGUACGUGAAAUUGUCAAAAGGGAAGCGUUUGACACCAGUGUUGUUUUUCUGAAAAUCAAUUAAAGAACUGUUUAUGCUAAGCUGUUUAGACUUUAUCAGCUAACUGUUUAGUUUUGAGCUUUUCUUUAAUGCACUUUUCAGUUAACAAGUCAACAUCAAUUUCUUUUGCUGUAAAAAAGCUUGAGGAAGGUGGCUUGAGAUUCGUCUUAAGUGUUUAUAGCCUCUUGCCUAUGCAGUCGGAGAGAUUGAGGUCUGCAGCGUAGAUCCUUCGGGGCUAAAUGCAUUUGUGCUAAGUUAUAGCAUUUUAUAGACAACUUGUUGACUAUGAUUUGUCUUGUAGCUUACUCGCUUAUGUUAUUUUACCUACGCUUAGGAUGUUGACGCGCGUGUGUGCGUG